rnacentral:rRNA from 1 species
CAGGCCUAACACAUGCAAGUCGAACGAUGCUUUCGGGCAUAGUGGCGCACGGGUGCGUAACGCGUGGGAAUCUGCCCCUUGGUUCGGAAUAACAGCUAGAAAUGGCUGCUAAUACCGGAUGACGACGUAAGUCCAAAGAUUUAUCGCCGAGGGAUGAGCCCGCGUAGGAUUAGCUGGUUGGUGUGGUAAAGGCGCACCAAGGCGACGAUCCUUAGCUGGUCUGAGAGGAUGAUCAGCCACACUGGGACUGAGACACGGCCCAGACUCCUACGGGAGGCAGCAGUGGGGAAUAUUGGACAAUGGGCGCAAGCCUGAUCCAGCAAUGCCGCGUGAGUGAUGAAGGCCUUAGGGUUGUAAAGCUCUUUUACCCGGGAUGAUAAUGACAGUACCGGGAGAAUAAGCUCCGGCUAACUCCGUGCCAG